CCCUUUAAGAACAAAGGUGUCUACUUUCCUUCUUUAGGAUGCUCUAUCAUGAUUUAAUGAACCCUCCCAAUCUACUGUAUUCAGUAUUUGGCAUGAGUCAAUUUAGGGGAAUUCUAGAAAACAUAGCUGGCUGUUACCAUCAGGUUAAUGUAGAUUGGGAGGUAGGGAAAAACCCCAGGAGACACGUAGGAAGGACAAUACGUGAAAACAGAAGAAACUUGGAGUCAGUUCACCCUUCAAACAAAAUCCAGUUUCCAGAAGACAUUGUGAGGGCUGCUAGGUCUUCCUCACCUGAAGAUGGGGGAUUCCAGAUAAUUAUACUUGAAUCUCACAGGAUGGGGUGAUCACCACCAGCUCUCAAAUGGGAUGAGUUACAAUAUUUUCUAUCGGGAGGUGGUAAAUAAGAGGUUAGCUACAUGUCUGUAGUCAUCACAAUUUUGUCAAGAUUGCUCUUUUUACUUCCAUGUCAUAGAUGGAGUGCCUGAUGCUUGUGGAAGUGAUUGGCUCAGGGUCUCACCAUCAAAAGUGGCAGAGGAAAGAUUCCAACAUGUUUUAAAAGCUGCAAACUGACCUGACUCCCAUCCAUGCUGUCAUACCGACUUUGAGAUUUCAAUCCUCCUGAAGGCAGGAAACUUAUUCCAUUUGCUUUUAUACCCUCCAUAACACUAGUGAGCAAGUUUUGCUCAAAGUAACAUGGAAUAUUUUGCUGACUCAAGGUGAAAAAGAAGUAAGAGACUUAAAUGACACCAUCACAAGUCAACAUUCAAGGAACAGAGACAUAUGUAGCAUUAGCUGUCUCAGUCAAAUCAACAUAAACAUGCACGUUUAUCCUUUACAUGGGGGUAAGACAGCAAACACAAUUGAAAAAAUGAGCCAAGUGUAAAAAAUUUGUCACAAAGGGAUGGAUUUAGACAGGAGAGCAGUGAAGUAGGUUAUAAAAUGGUCAGCAUAAUCCAUUUUAAUGAAUUAUUAGCUGAAACAUGCAAAGCAUUUAGGAUUUCUGGGAGAAGUGUACAAACACACCAAAUGUUUGUCCGACAUUUUCUUCACUGCUUCUGUCUUUCCACAGGGCUGGAGAUGUUGACCAACAGCCUUGGGAGGAGAGGUUGCAGCUGAGCCCACACCCUCUCAAACUCCUUCAGACUGUUUCUGUUUUUGUAGACUACUUUACCAUUAACAACAAAUCCUAAGAUUUACUCAAUCAGUACAGCAGUCGUUGGCCAGAGUUCAAAUUUCUGAUUCGAAGGAAUCUGCCCUCUGCCUGCCAGGAUCGACUAUUAAUGGCUUCGUCCGUAGAGGAGCUGUGUCUUUGCUCACUACGGAACAGUAUUGAGGCUUCGAAAGGGGUAUUUUGCUGGUCACCUCCUGGUCAUCCUUCUGCUCACCAAGAACAGAUACUGUUCUCAGCCCCUUACAUUUACAAGGUCGUUUAAUUCUCACAUAGCCCUUUCAGAUAGAUGCGACUAUUACCCCCAUUUUACAGAGGAGGAAAUCGAGAGGCGGAGGACAUAGGUGAAUUGUCCCAGAUCACAGAGCUGGCCAUGGAGCUGGGACUUGCACCCAGCCAGCCUGGCUCCAGAGUUCACUGCCCUCCUCCUGUACAGCACCUGUGACCUGCAGUAAUCACCACCCAAACAGGCAGGCACUGCGGAUAGCCAAGUACACCUCUUCCGACUUCAGCACGGAGGACGGUUCGUUUUCAUUCUGGUGUUCAGCUCAGGACUGUGUUUAUCACCACAAGGACGCACAACCCAGAAAGCUCAGUCACGUGCCAUUGCCUUCUACGGUCAUGGUUUUCUACUUUUUGGCCCCAUUUUCCUGCGCACUUGGCCUGCUGGGACGUGAAUGAUGCGUUACUACUUCUACAGAAUGCAGCCCCCCAACUGUGAAGUUCCCGGGGUCCCUGGCCAGUGACUUGCUGAAGCCUCACUCUCCAGGACCUCUGUAGAGAGGCACCCUACUCGAAUGCAUGCUUCUCCAGGAAUAUUUGCUCUGGUAACAGCUGAGAAGAAAAACCCAUCUCUAACAGUUUGAUUGCAGGUGGGUGGCCCCGGGGCAAGUGAUUUUGGGAAGGUGGGGCUGGCUGGCGCCCUGUGUCCUGACUUUUCUUCUGAGCCUUUGCAAAACCACUUUUGAGAAAAUUAAUCGGGGUGGGUACUCCUGGGUGGCAUUUUCUUCUAAGUGAAAAUCUGUAGAAUUCCUGUCGUUGCGGGAGCUGUGGUUUUCUGUCAAGACCCUGUGGGGUCCUGGCAGUGUGGGGCCUGUUUCUUAUCCAGACUCUUCUUAUCCAGAAGAGUCAGGUGCCUGGCAAGUGAACUGGCCAACUCAAAUUUGUGUCACUCGUAUCGACCUAAAAUGAAAUACAAAUAAAACGUCUCAUUUCUGGCAUGAAAGAGACCUAGGAAGGGCAGGCUUAGGGCUGGCUUCUU